UAAAGAAGAGAGCGAGACCUACACACACAGCCUAAAACAAUACAAAUACAAACCCCACAACCUCUCUCUUCUGUUCUCUUCUCUUCUUCUUCGCUUCGAGUUUGGGGUUUCGCUUCUCUCUCUUCAAAUCUCUCGCCCUUUUUCUCCGGCCUGCUCCGUACGGCCUUUCGGCCUUAGGAUGUGUAUGCGUCCGUCGCCUCCGUCUCUCUCUCCUCUCUCAGUUUAAAGUAGAGAAGCUGAGGUGAAAAUAUGACAACCCUAAGAUCAAACUUGCCAUCGAGGAUUCGUCAACUUCUGUCCGCCGACGGUGCUCUCGGGCCGUCCAUCAAACUCGACUCUGAGCCU